CGAGGCCGAAAGGCGUAGUCGAUGGGAAACGGGUUAAUAUUCCCGUACUUGGUGUUACUGCGAAGGGGGGACGGAGAAGGCUAUGUUGGCCGGGCGACGGUUGUCCCGGUUUAAGCGUGUAGGUGUGUGUUCCAGGUAAAUCCGGUUCACUUUAACACUGAGGCGUGACGACGAGGCACUACGGUGCUGAAGCAACAAAUGCCCUGCUUCCAGGAAAAGCCUCUAAGCAUCAGGUAACAUCAAAUCGUACCCCAAACCGACACAGGUGGUCAGGUAGAGAAUACCAAGGCGCUUGAGAGAACUCGGGUGAAGGAACUAGGCAAAAUGGUGCCGUAACUUCGGGAGAAGGCACGCUGACACGUAGGUGAAGUGAUUUACUCAUGGAGCUGAAGUCAGUCGAAGAUACCAGCUGGCUGCAACUGUUUAUUAAAAACACAGCACUGUGCAAACACGAAAGUGGACGUAUACGGUGUGACGCCUGCCCGGUGCCGGAAGGUUAAUUGAUGGGGUCAGCGCAAGCGAAGCUCCUGAUCGAAGCCCCGGUAAACGGCGGCCGUAACUAUAACGGUCCUAAGGUAGCGAAAUUCCUUGUCGGGUAAGUUCCGACCUGCACGAAUGGCGUAAUGAUGGCCAGGCUGUCUCCACCCGAGACUCAGUGAAAUUGAACUCGCUGUGAAGAUGCAGUGUACCCGCGGCAAGACGGAAAGACCCCGUGAACCUUUACUAUAGCUUGACACUGAACAUUGAGCCUUGAUGUGUAGGAUAGGUGGGAGGCUUUGAAGUGUGGACGCCAGUCUGCAUGGAGCCGACCUUGAAAUACCACCCUUUAAUGUUUGAUGUUCUAACGUGGACCCGUUACCCGGGUUGCGGACAGUGUCUGGUGGGUAGUUUGACUGGGGCGGUCUCCUCCUAAAGAGUAACGGAGGAGCACGAAGGUUGGCUAAUCCUGGUCGGACAUCAGGAGGUUAGUGCAAUGGCAUAAGCCAGCUUGACUGCGAGCGUGACGGCGCGAGCAGGUGCGAAAGCAGGUCAUAGUGAUCCGGUGGUUCUGAAUGGAAGGGCCAUCGCUCAACGGAUAAAAGGUACUCCGGGGAUAACAGGCUGAUACCGCCCAAGAGUUCAUAUCGACGGCGGUGUUUGGCACCUCGAUGUCGGCUCAUCACAUCCUGGGGCUGAAGUAGGUCCCAAGGGUAUGGCUGUUCGCCAUUUAAAGUGGUACGCGAGCUGGGUUUAGAACGUCGUGAGACAGUUCGGUCCCUAUCUGCCGUGGGCGCUGGAGAACUGAGGGGGGCUGCUCCUAGUACGAGAGGACCGGAGUGGACGCAUCACUGGUGUUCGGGUUGUCAUGCCAAUGGCACUGCCCGGUAGCUAAAUGCGGAAGAGAUAAGUGCUGAAAGCAUCUAAGCACGAAACUUGCCCCGAG
rnacentral:rRNA from 1 species